AUAGGUAAUAAAAUAAUGAUUAACCCUUUUAUUUAUUUAUUUGAUAAAAAAAAUUUAAUUAAACUAUUCUUAUUAUAUGUUAAUAAUAUUUCGUCUGAAACGCAGACGAGAGGGAGAGAGAGGCUUCAAAGCUUUGAUUCAUUUCUUCAUCUCAAAAUGCAAAAAACACAUAAGCUUCUUUUAGGCAAAACCCUAGCGCCGCCGCACCCUUCGCCUUAUCUCUCUGUUUCCCAUUCUUCUACCUUUCUAUUCAACCAAUGGAGUUUCUCUUUCGACGUCAACUUAAACGCCAUCCAUGUCUUCGCUUUUCUGUCAAGCUUGUGA